rnacentral:lncRNA from 1 species
UAUAUAUUUUAAUAUAUAACCAUUAAGAUAACUUUUAUAUAAACAAUUUGACUAGACUACAAUUAUAAAAUUACAAUUAAUUACAGUGUCAUAAUCUCAAUCAAUUAUAAAAUAACAAUUAAUUACUUUGUCAUAAUCUCAAUCAAGUCAUCAAAACAAAUUGCUUUACAACAGAUUUUUCUUUACAUUAUUAACAGGUUUUAACCAAAACAAGGAAUAGACCAAGAACUAGACCAAGAACAAGCAUAAAUGUCUUAUGAAAACUGAAGGCACUUCAAAAUAAAGAUGAAUCUAAUAAUUUAAUACAGUGUCGAGUAGAUACAUCCCUUUAUGUACAUCCAAAGUCUCAAGGACUAAAGUGUCAAUUUGGUGUCUAUCAGGUAAGUUUUUUUUUUACAAAAAAAAAUGAUUUUCUUUAAUUGAAUUUUGAAAAUGCAUCCACCAGGGACAAUAUCCUUGUCAAUUACAGAUUUUCCCUUACAUGAAUAAUUACUAAUAAAAUACAGCAGCAUUUGCUUAAGUAAGUGUACCUAAAGAUAAAACUACAAUAAAAACUUCAUUUAACAUCAUGAUAUAAUCUAAAUAAAGGAUUUAGGCUCUGGUCAAUUUUAAAACUCUAAAUUGUACAUCAAGUCUUUGAUUAGGUUGUUUUUUUAUUAACUUAUAGUAUUUCUAAGAUCAGGAAUUUACUGUGUAGAAUAAUUAUAUUUGAAUUUCCAAGAUAAUAAAACAAAAUAUAUGAUAGUAAACAAUAUCAACUCAGAAUGACUUUUUCUGUUUUGCUCAAACUAAUUUUAAGUGUGUAAAUAACAAUCCUAACAUUUUCCUUCUACUUGCAAAGUUUAUACAACAGUGUAUCAUGAAAAUCAAUAUAUUGCACAUUAAAUCAAUAUCAACAAACAUCUUUAGUAGUUAAAGCUUGUGUAGUUUUCCAGAAACUUAACAUCAUAAUUUUACUCCUCAUUUAUGUAUUACAUAAUAGUUAAAGAUGAUUCUUUAAGUAAUAGAAAAAUACUCUGAAAGACAAAUGUGUGGUGCCAUAACACAAACUCUCACCAAUGAAAGGUUGGGCAUAUAUGUAAAAAUCAUGCAUUGCAAGAAAAUAACUUAUUGGUGAAUAAAUUUAAAUAACAUGACUUUGAAAUAGUUGCUGGAUGAUGAGGGAGUUUUUUUAAUGACCUCGACUACCCAUGAGGGUAUAGCUUAAUGUUAGCUUACUGAAUGAAGAUUUAUGUAUUUUAAUUUUUUAAACAAUAUAAAAGUUUCUAUUUUUCAGAAUGUUUUCUCCUGACUUAAGUUUUACAUGCUGCUCACUUGCUAUCAAUUUGGUAUAGUCUUAUAAAACAUGAAAUCAAUGCCAAAAUUGUAAAUAUGCUACAUCAUAAUUAGACUUUUAGUUUAAGAAAUAGUUUGAGCGUAAAUUUUUAUAAAGGAGAUUUAAACUCAGAUUUUUGUUUCAUCACAAAAAAAUAGUCACUACCGGUAGUUUCCUUACAAGUGAUUGAAGGAUGGUGUUGAUGGGACUUAGUAAUAUUUGACAUUCAAAUGAAAAUGGGUCUGUUUUGGUAAAAAAUCUAAAUAUACUGGUCUGUUUCAGUAAACCUCUACAACAUACAAAGUCUUUCAUUACAAAAAUGAUGGCAAGUUAAUGACAAAUUGAUGAGUAUUUAUUAAGCACCUUAUUUAACUACAACAAUUUCAGUGAGUGAGGUAUUAUGCAAAUAGCUUGUUCAAUUAAUAAUAUUCAGAUCAACAUAUUAAAGUUAUGACUCUCAACAUUUUUCAAUAUUUAAAUGACUAACUGCCUCUUUGGCUUAAAGAUUGGCAAAAAUUACAAGUUUUACAAAUAGAAUUAUUGCUUUAAUACUUGCAAUCCUAAUAUUUGGAAGGGUAAAGCUUUAAUAUUAUGUUGAAAAUGAAUAGAACAGUGACCCUUUUCAACAAAAAUCUUACGAUAACGUUUAAUAACUUAAAUAUUUUUUAUAUGAAAACAGCUGUUUGGUAGUACAAUUAUGAUUUUAAAUGAGGUAAAAUUUGGUGAAAAUCUGAGAUGGUUGUUUUUAAUGGAGUGUUGGUAAUCUCAUGGGUGAGUGAUUCUAUAAAUGUUACCAAUGAAUGUAUGUACUUGUCAAUACAAGCAGCUCCAAUUCAAACUGAUAUUAUAUUAGUUGAUCACGUCAAGAAGUGGUUUCAAGCAAUAUAUGAAUCCUUCAUAAAACUUUCAAGUAUGAUUGUCAUACUCAAACUCAGAAAUCAACUAUCAAAUUUAUACUAGAUUUGGCGUUUCACAAAUUUUCUGAUCGGAGUACUGAGUAAAGUUGUAUGAUCAAAAGGCCAGGAAAGCCUUAUAUAGUAUAAAUGUAUAUGAUAUUUAAUAACUUUUGAAUUCGUUUCAUUUAUGUAGAUUGCAAAUUGGAAACAAUAUGUGUGUUAUUUAAAACAUAAUUUUAUCUCAUUGUUCACAACUUUGAUAAAUACAUAAUCCAGAAAAUCCAUCUGUAAACAGAUGAUUACAUUCUUUGAAGUUUUCAAUUCUG